rnacentral:rRNA from 1 species
GUCGGCGACCGGCGCACGGGUGCGUAACGCGUAUGCAACCUACCCAUUACAGGGGGAUAACACUGAGAAAUCGGUACUAAUACCCCAUAACAUCCAGGGAGGCAUCUUCUUGGGUUGAAAACUCCGGUGGUAAUGGAUGGGCAUGCGUUGUAUUAGUUAGUUGGUGGGGUAACGGCUCACCAAGACGACGAUACAUAGGGGGACUGAGAGGUUAACCCCCCACAUUGGUACUGAGACACGGACCAAACUCCUACGGGAGGCAGCAGUGAGGAAUAUUGGUCAAUGGACGCAAGUCUGAACCAGCCAUGCCGCGUGCAGGAAGACGGCUCUAUGAGUUGUAAACUGCUUUUGUACGAGGGUAAACGCAGAUACGUGUAUCUGUCUGAAAGUAUCGUACGAAUAAGGAUCGGCUAACUCCGUGCCAGCAGCCGCGGUAAUACGGAGGAUUCAAGCGUUAUCCGGAUUUAUUGGGUUUAAAGGGUGCGUAGGCGGUCGGAUAAGUUAGAGGUGAAAUCCCGGGGCUCAACUUCGGAAUUGCCUCUGAUACUGUUCGGCUAGAGAGUAGUUGCGGUAGGCGGAAUGUAUGGUGUAGCGGUGAAAUGCUUAGAGAUCAUACAGAACACCGAUUGCGAAGGCAGCUUACCAAGCUACUUCUGACGUUGAGGCACGAAAGCGUGGGGAGCAAACAGGAUUAGAUACCCUGGUAGUCCACGCAGUAAAC